UACGUAGGGUGCAAGCGUUAAUCGGAAUUACUGGGCGUAAAGCGUGCGCAGGCGGUUGUGCAAGACAGAUGUGAAAUCCCCGGGCUUAACCUGGGAACUGCAUUUGUGACUGUACGGCUAGAGUACGGCAGAGGGGGAUGGAAUUCCGCGUGUAGCAGUGAAAUGCGUAGAUAUGCGGAGGAACACCGAUGGCGAAGGCAAUCCCCUGGGCCUGCACUGACGCUCAUGCACGAAAGCGUGGGGAGCAAACAGG
rnacentral:rRNA from 1 species